rnacentral:rRNA from 1 species
CCCUAGAGAUAGGGCUUCCCCUUCGGGGGCAGAGUGACAGGUGGUGCAUGGUUGUCGUCAGCUCGUGUCGUGAGAUGUUGGGUUAAGUCCCGCAACGAGCGCAACCCUUGAUCUUAGUUGCCAGCAUUCAGUUGGGCACUCUAAGGUGACUGCCGGUGACAAACCGGAGGAAGGUGGGGAUGACGUCAAAUCAUCAUGCCCCUUAUGACCUGGGCUACACACGUGCUACAAUGGGCAGAACAAAGGGCAGCGAAGCCGCGAGGCUAAGCCAAUCCCACAAAUCUGUUCUCAGUUCGGAUCGCAGUCUGCAACUCGACUGCGUGAAGCUGGAAUCGCUAGUAAUCGCGGAUCAGCAUGCCGCGGUGAAUACGUUCCCGGGCCUUGUACACACCGCCCGUCACACCACGAGAGUUUGUAACACCCGAAGUCGGUGA